CCAGUAGCCCAGUGGGAGCACACAGUGGGUAAGGUCAGCAGUUCACAGGUGGCAGGACUAGAGGGAAGCAGAGCUCUCAGUCUGCUCUCUUCCCCCUCUCUACACUAGCUGAGAACAUUCCUCACUUCACCCACCUCUCUGUCCAGCAGCCCAAUGGGAACACUUUCUCCCUCCACUGUGUAGGGUUGAGGCAAGGAGACUAUUCAGGGCAUCUCUCAUGGAAAGGAAACUGUCUUCAUACCCACAAAUGAUGUUAAAGUCUCUGUUUUGUCUGUUUCUCUGUGUCUCUUUCUGUCUCUCUAACGCACACAGUGUACAGUCAGCAUUGGGUCGUACGGGUCUCUGGCGACCACUGCCUGAGGAGCCAGCGUGCCGGGCUGCCGAUUAGAUGACUGCACUUGCGAGUAUGGCAGCCGGGUUUGUACCCUCUAGCGAGUAAGGAGCACCCCACUCCCACCCAGAGGGCAACCACCAGCGUCCCGAG
rnacentral:lncRNA from 1 species